AUGGCGACCGGCGCACGGGUGAGUAACACGUAUCCAACCUGCCGAUGACUCGGGGAUAGCCUUUCGAAAGAAAGAUUAAUACCCGAUGGCAUAGUUCUUCCGCAUGGUGGAACUAUUAAAGAAUUUCGGUCAUCGAUGGGGAUGCGUUCCAUUAGGUUGUUGGCGGGGUAACGGCCCACCAAGCCUUCGAUGGAUAGGGGUUCUGAGAGGAAGGUCCCCCACAUUGGAACUGAGACACGGUCCAAACUCCUACGGGAGGCAGCAGUGAGGAAUAUUGGUCAAUGGACGAGAGUCUGAACCAGCCAAGUAGCGUGAAGGAUGACUGCCCUAUGGGUUGUAAACUUCUUUUAUACGGGAAUAAAGUGAGGCACGUGUGCCUUUUUGUAUGUACCGUAUGAAUAAGGAUCGGCUAACUCCGUGCCAGCAGCCGCGGUAAUACGGAGGAUCCGAGCGUUAUCCGGAUUUAUUGGGUUUAAAGGGAGCGUAGGCGGACGCUUAAGUCAGUUGUGAAAGUUUGCGGCUCAACCGUAAAAUUGCAGUUGAUACUGGGUGUCUUGAGUACAGUAGAGGCAGGCGGAAUUCGUGGUGUAGCGGUGAAAUGCUUAGAUAUCACGAAGAACUCCGAUUGCGAAGGCAGCUUGCUGGACUGUAACUGACGCUGAUGCUCGAAAGUGUGGGUAUCAAACAGGAUUAGAUACCCUGGUAGUCCACACAGUAAACGAUGAAUACUCGCUGUUUGCGAUAUACAGUAAGCGGCCAAGCGAAAGCGUUAAGUAUUCCACCUGGGGAGUA
rnacentral:rRNA from 1 species